rnacentral:rRNA from 1 species
UACGUAGGGUGCAAGCGUUAUCCGGAAUUAUUGGGCGUAAAGAGCUCGUAGGCGGUGUGUCGCGUCGGCCGUGAAAACUUGGGGCUUAACUCUGAGCGUGCGGUCGAUACGGGCAUCACUUGAGUUCGGCAGGGGAGACUGGAAUUCCUGGUGUAGCGGUGAAAUGCGCAGAUAUCAGGAGGAACACCGGUGGCGAAGGCGGGUCUCUGGGCCGAUACUGACGCUGAGGAGCGAAAGCAUGGGGAGCGAACAGG